GCCUCGGCAUAGUGAAGAGAUUUGCCUGAGACUAACAGCAUAUCGUUUUGCAUACAUCCAGCAGUUUAGUUGGUGGUUCUGAAAAAGACAAAAAUAAAAAAUGCCGCAAGCAACGGAGGGAAUGAGUCUGAUGACAACUUAUAUAAUUCUCAUCACUCUUUUAAUAGCGCUUUGGGUUCUAUAUUCUGGAAUUUUAUAGACUAAAUAUGAUCUGGAAUUAUUAAGUUUACUCUCUUCACCUAUUACAAUCAUCCACUCUAGAAAAUAUGUUCUAUAUAUUGGAUAUAAAUAAAUAUAAUCACGCAUAUAAACUGGAACGUGGUACAUGUGUCAUUGUACUCCAUCAUAAUUAUUCUUUGUAUUUUUGUAAUUGUUAAAGUAUUUAUUAUAAUUGAUGUUAAAAAAAUGUAAAUAAAAAUAGUUUUUUUAAUAA